GAGGACUUAGCUUAAUUAAAGCGUCUGAUUUGCAGUCAGUUGAUGUGAGAUAGGUUCUUGCAGUCUUUA
rnacentral:tRNA from 1 species